GACGAACCGUGCGAACGUUAUUCGGAAUCACUGGGCUUAAAGCGCGUGUAGGCGGGGCGGCACGUCUGUCGCUGAAAUCCCCCGGCUUAACCGGGGAACUGGCGGAGAUACGACCGUCCUGGAGGGGGGUAGGGGGACCUGGAACUCCCGGUGGAGCGGUGAAAUGCGUUGAGAUCGGAAGGAACGCCCGUGGCGAAAGCGAGGUCCUGGACGCCUACUGACGCUGAGACGCGAAAGCCAGGGGAGCGAACGGG
rnacentral:rRNA from 1 species